GUACACGAGCGGCGAACGGGUGAGUAACACGUGGGUGAUCUGCCUCGUACUUCGGGAUAAGCCUGGGAAACUGGGUCUAAUACCGGAUAUGACCUCAGGAUGCAUGUCUUGUGGUGGAAAGAUUUAUCGGUGCGAGAUGGGCCCGCGGCCUAUCAGCUUGUUGGUGGGGUAAUGGCCUACCAAGGCGACGACGGGUAGCCGACCUGAGAGGGUGACCGGCCACACUGGGACUGAGACACGGCCCAGACUCCUACGGGAGGCAGCAGUGGGGAAUAUUGCACAAUGGGCGGAAGCCUGAUGCAGCGACGCCGCGUGAGGGAUGACGGCCUUCGGGUUGUAAACCUCUUUCGACAGGGACGAAGGGAAACUGACGGUACCUGUAGAAGAAGCACCGGCCAACUACGUGCCAGCAGCCGCGGUAAUACGUAGGGUGCGAGCGUUGUCCGGAAUUACUGGGCGUAAAGAGCUUGUAGGCGGUUCGUCGCGUCGAUCGUGAAAACUUGCAGCUCAACUGCGAGCUUGCGGUCGAUACGGGCGGACUAGAGUACUUCAGGGGAGACUGGAAUUCCUGGUGUAGCGGUGAAAUGCGCAGAUAUCAGGAGGAACACCGGUGGCGAAGGCGGGUCUCUGGGAAGUAACUGACGCUGAGAAGCGAAAGCGUGGGUAGCGAACAGGAUUAGAUACCCUGGUAGUCCACGCCGUA
rnacentral:rRNA from 1 species